ACAGACUAAGCCACCCAGGAACUCCGUGUUCUCUUUUUUAAGGCAUUCAAGGACUGCUUGUUGAGCAAGUGACCCAAAGCAUGUACAUCUCCCAGCUCUGCCACUUCUACUUCUGUCCCUUUGCACAACUUGCUGAGUUUCCUUCUGUUCACCCACAAAUCAGGAAGAAUACUGCUGGCCUGGCAAGGUUAUUGUGCGCCCUAAGAAGAUACUGAAACGAAGCAGGGGCUCUGACGGUGGUCCAGAUUGUUGGCUGUCAUUAAAUGCCAGCUUUGAAGA